rnacentral:rRNA from 1 species
UACGGAGGAUCCAAGCGUUAUCCGGAUUUAUUGGGUUUAAAGGGUGCGUAGGCGGAUUGAUAAGUUAGAGGUGAAAUGUCCGAGCUCAACUCGGGAACUGCCUCUAAUACUGUUGAUCUAGAGAGUAGAUGCGGUAGGCGGAAUGUAUGGUGUAGCGGUGAAAUGCUUAGAGAUCAUACAGAACACCGAUUGCGAAGGCAGCUUACCAAUCUAUAUCUGACGUUGAGGCACGAAAGCGCGGGGAGCAAACAGG